UACGUAGGUGGCGAGCGUUGUCCGGCAUUACUGGGUGUAAAGGGCGUGUAGGCGGGAGAGCAAGUUAGAUGUGAAAACCCACGGCUUAACCACGGGACUGCAUCUAAAACUGUUUUUCUUGAGUGAUGGAGAGGAAAGUGGAAUUCCCAGUGUAGCGGUGAAAUGCGUAGAGAUUGGGAGGAACACCAGUGGCGAAGGCGGCUUUCUGGACAUUAACUGACGCUGAGGCGCGAAAGCGUGGGGAGCGAACAGG
rnacentral:rRNA from 1 species